rnacentral:rRNA from 1 species
GACGAACGCUGGCGGCGUGCCUAAUACAUGCAAGUCGAACGCAGGGGGGACGGGUGAGUAACACGUGGGUAACCUCCCAUCAGAGGGGAUAACACUUGGCAACAGGUGCUAAACCGAUACUGAUGGAUGGACCCGCGGUGGAUUAGCUAGUUGGUGGGGUAACGUCUCACCAAGGCCACGAUGCAUAGCUGGCCUGAGAGGAUGACCGGCCACACGGGAACUGAGACACGGCCCAGACUCCUACGGGAGGCAGCAGUAGGGAAUAUUCGACAAUGGGCGAAAGUCUGACCGAGCAACGCCGCGUGAGUGAAGAAGGUUUUCGGAUCGUAAAGCACUGUUGUUGGGGAAGCGGUAUCUAACCAGAAAGCCACGGCUAACUACGUGCCAGCAGCCGCGGUAAUAC